rnacentral:rRNA from 1 species
AGCGGCGGAUGGGUGAGUAACACGUGGGGAACCUGCCCCUAAGUCUGGGAUACCAUUUGGAAACAGGUGCUAAUACCGGAUAAUAAAGCAGAUCGCAUGAUCAGCUUUUGAAAGGCGGCGUAAGCUGUCGCUAAGGGAUGGCCCCGCGGUGCAUUAGCUAGUUGGUAAGGUAACGGCUUACCAAGGCGACGAUGCAUAGCCGAGUUGAGAGACUGAUCGGCCACAUUGGGACUGAGACACGGCCCAAACUCCUACGGGAGGCAGCAGUAGGGAAUCUUCCACAAUGGACGCAAGUCUGAUGGAGCAACGCCGCGUGAGUGAAGAAGGUUCUCGGAUCGUAAAGCUCUGUUGUUGGUGGAGAAGGAUAGAGGUAGUAACUGGCCUUUAUUUGACGGUAAUCAACCAGAAAGUCACGGCUAACUACGUGCCAGCAGCCGCGGUAAUACGUAGGUGGCAAGCGUUGUCCGGAUUUAUUGGGCGUAAAGCGAGCGCAGGCGGAAAAAUAAGUCUAAUGUGAAAGCCCUCGGCUUAACCGAGGAACUGCAUCGGAAACUGUUUUUCUUGAGUGCAGAAGAGGAGAGUGGAACUCCAUGUGUAGCGGUGGAAUGCGUAGAUAUAUGGAAGAACACCAGUGGCGAAAGGCGGCUCUCUGGUCUGCAACUGACGCUGAGGCUCGAAAGCAUGGGUAGCGAACAGGAUUAGAUACCCUGGUAGUCCAUGCCGUAACGAUGAGUGCUAAGUGU